CCAAACUUGGUCAUUUAGAGGAAGUAAAAGUCGUAACAAGGUCUCCGUUGGUGAACCAGCGGAGGGAUCAUUAUCGAGUUACCAAACUCCAAACCAUUGUGAACCUACCAUCGUUGCUUCGGCGGACCCGCCCCGGGCGCGCGCUCGCCGCGUGACCCGGGCCCAGGCGGCCGCCGGGGGACCCAAACUCCUGUAUUUCAGAGCAUCUUCUGAGUGGCAUAAGCAAAUAAAUCAAAACUUUCAGCAACGGAUCUCUUGGCUCUGGCAUCGAUGAAGAACGCAGC
rnacentral:misc_RNA from 1 species